rnacentral:rRNA from 1 species
AACGCUAGCUACAGGCUUAACACAUGCAAGUCGAGGGGUAACGAGAGGGAAGCUUGCUUUCCUUGUCGACGACCGGCGCACGGGUGAGUAACGCGUAUCCAACCUGCCCCCAACUAGGGAAUAACCUUGCGAAAGUAAGACUAAUACCCUAUAAUUUCCUCAGAUGUCAUCUGACGAGGAAUAAAGAUUUAUCGGUUGUGGAUGGGGAUGCGUCUGAUUAGCUUGUUGGCGGGGUAACGGCCCACCAAGGCAACGAUCAGUAGGGGUUCUGAGAGGAAGGUCCCCCACAUUGGAACUGAGACACGGUCCAAACUCCUACGGGAGGCAGCAGUGAGGAAUAUUGGUCAAUGGGCGGAAGCCUGAACCAGCCAAGUAGCGUGCAGGAUGACGGCCCUAUGGGUUGUAAACUGCUUUUAUACAGGAAUAAAGUUAGCCACGUGUGGUUAUUUGUAGGUACUGUAUGAAUAAGGACCGGCUAAUUCCGUGCCAGCAGCCGCGGUAAUACGGAAGGUCCAGGCGUUAUCCGGAUUUAUUGGGUUUAAAGGGAGCGUAGGCCGUCUGUUAAGCGUGUUGUGAAAUGUAGAUGCUCAACAUCUGAAUUGCAGCGCGAACUGGCAGACUUGAGUGUGCGCAACGUAGGCGGAAUUCGUGGUGUAGCGGUGAAAUGCUUAGAUAUCACGAAGAACUCCGAUUGA